AACAGGGAGAAUAUGACAAGAUUCAAGAAGAGAUUUUUGAAAUCAGAUACAAAAUGUUUAGUGUAAAUGUUUCAAGUUUGGAACAGGAUAUUUAGAAUUGCAAAAAAUUUAUCUUAUCCACUGUGAAAGGCAUUUAUAUGUCAAGAUGAACUGUCAAGGACUGAGGCUGGAUGCUUAGAUUAUUUUCCCCCAUCAAUAGAUGCAAGAGGACAAACCUUAUCCUUCAACUGAAGUGUGUUACAUGUCUAGGUAAUUCCUGCACUUCUGUCUUGUUGUUAGAGGAACAGGAGAAAGAGCCGCGGUGGCUGACAUUACAAUCCAACUGGGAGAGCCUCAAUGGGACCACUUUACAUGAACUUCUAGUAAAUGGGCAGUCUUGUCAGAGCAGAAGUAAAAUUUCUCUUCUGUGUACUAAACAAGACUGUGGGCGCCGCCCUGCUGCCCGAAUGAACAAAAGGAUCCUUGGAGGUCGGACGAGUCGCCCUGGAAGGUGGCCAUGGCAGUGUUCUCUGCAGAGUGAACCCAGUGGACAUAUCUGUGGCUGUGUCCUCAUUGCCAAGAAGUGGGUUCUGACAGUUGCCC
rnacentral:sRNA from 1 species